UUGAACGCUGGCGGCAUGCUUUACACAUGCAAGUCGAACGGCGGCGCGGGCUUCGGCCUGGCGGCGAGUGGCGAACGGGUGAGUAAUACAUCGGAACGUGCCCAGUAGUGGGGGAUAGCUCGGCGAAAGCCGGAUUAAUACCGCAUACGACCUGAGGGUGAAAGCGGGGGAUCUUCGGACCUCGCGCUAUUGGAGCGGCCGAUGGCAGAUUAGCUAGUUGGUGGGGUAAAGGCCUACCAAGGCGACGAUCUGUAGCUGGUCUGAGAGGACGACCAGCCACACUGGGACUGAGACACGGCCCAGACUCCUACGGGAGGCAGCAGUGGGGAAUUUUGGACAAUGGGCGAAAGCCUGAUCCAGCAAUGCCGCGUGUGUGAUGAAGGCCUUCGGGUUGUAAAGCACUUUUGGCGGGAACGAAAAGGACUGUGCCAAUACCACGGUUCGAUGACGGUACCCGCAGAAUAAGCACCGGCUAACUACGUG
rnacentral:rRNA from 1 species